rnacentral:rRNA from 1 species
UACGGAGGUGGCAAGCGUUGUUCGGAAUUACUGGGCGUAAAGGGCGCGUAGGCGGGGAGGCGAGUCGGGUGUGAAAUCCCUUGGCUCAACCAAGGAACUGCGCCCGAAACUACUUCUCUUGAGUCCCGGAGAGGAAGAUGGAAUUCCCGGUGUAGCGGUGAAAUGUGUAGAGAUCGGGAGGAACACCGGUGGCGAAGGCGGUCUUCUGGACGGUGACUGACGCUGAGGCGCGAAAGCGUGGGGAGCAAACGGG